AAGGGGAUAAAAGCAGGACAUCUGAGCCAGCAGCGGCAACCCACUUGGGUCCCCUUCCACACUGUGGAAGCUUUGUUCUUUUGCUCUUCACAAUAAAUCUUGCCACUGCUGACUUUUUGAGUCCACACUACCUUUAUGAGCUGUAACACUCACCGUGAAGGUUUGCAGCUUCAUUCCUGAAGACAGUGAGACCACAAACCCACCGGGAGGAAUGGACAACUCCAGAUGUGCUGACUUUAACAGCUGUAACACUCACCACAAAGCUUCACUCUUGAAGUCAGUGAGACCACAAACCCACCAGAAGGAAGAAAUUCCAGACACGUCUGAACAUCAGAAGGAAUAAACUCUGGACACACCAUCUUUAAGAACUGUAACACUCACUGUGAGGGUCCACAGCUUCAUUCUUGAAGUCAGUGAAACCAAGAACCCACCAAUUCCAGACACAUUUUGGCAACCACAAAGGGACUAUUACCUAUCGCCAAGUGGUGAGACUAUUGCCUAUCACCAAGCAUUAAGGUGGCAGGAAUGAAAUCUUGGAUCCACCACACCUGAGUUAAAUUUUGGACAUCCCCUGAGGAACCUGUGAGACCAUCAGCUCAGGAGUCCCAAGAUCAGCCAGACCAGCCUCGAUACACCUGUGAACCAUUGGAGGACUUGCAUCUCCUAUUUUGGAAGGAAACAUCCCAGAAUAAAAAGGCUCCUACCACUAAUCCUGAGGAAAAACCCCUUCCUCCUUAAAAAAGAUAAGUGAAAACCUACAUAAUCUUUAUCUUUAACACCUCUCCUUGCCCCUUUAAUGGAACCCUUUUACUAUUUCAUCAUAUUAUUAAGUAGCAUACUAACCAUACUCUUUGUGAUAGGACUAUAUACUGUAGCUCCUGCCAGGAUGAAAAUCCUAAUCACAUCAACCUUCUUUCUAUCUUCCUUCCUUCUGACAGCAAUUUACUCCUACCUUUAACUCAGCCUGGAAAAAAUGAUGUCAUCUUCCAGAGCACCCUCUUUACCUUUCUAUUUACUUUUUGCCUAUCUAUCCCUCCUGCUUCCUUGGAUACCUCAUACAAUCACCCCUCCCCUUCCACUAGCUCCUAAUUACCUCUGCAAUACUCUCAACUUAACCCACUCUCUGUUAAACCAGUCCAAUCCUUCCCUGGCAAAUGGCUGUUGGCUUUGUAUCUCUCUUUCAGCCUCUGAUUAUGAUGCCACUCCCAGUCCCACAAAAAACUGGGUCUUUACCAACUUAAUCUACCACCCUCAUUAUGAAGGAAAAGACCCUUUCUGACUUCUAAAUAUGCAAUCAUUAGCCAACUUACCCAUCUCUGAUAGGACCAAGAAUACCCUAACAGGACAUGCAAUCCAACUUUUACGUUCUUACAUUUCCAACCUCAACUAUUUCACAAGCAAUGAAAAGCCCAUACACAGCCCUGUAACUAUGAAUACCAUAUUAACUUUCCAAGCCCCUUUAUGCAUCCAAUGCAACCUGUUAUCAGGCCUGCCCCUGAGGCACCUACUACCCCAUCAGUGUAAUUAAACCCUACAACUUCAAGCCCCAACUGAUCAUAGUAACUUCCGAGUCACCCAAACAGCUCCAUUCAAAUGGCUUGUCUGCUCUCAGGGCCCCCCAAAAUCAUCACCUCCUCCCUGCUUAACAAACAGUCCAGGUUUUGUAAUGGCAAACAUAUUCCCUGCAUGACCAUUCACCCCUGGACCCCCUGCAACACCACUAGUGAAUGCCUUCUCAUCCCCUCUUUCAGUCACUCUCUCGAAUGGUUACUAGUAGAUACAAAAUGGUUUUUUUCUCCAAUGGGAAAAUAGAACACAGGGAGCUCCCAAUACCCCUUUCCAGCCACUUACUGGGGCUACCUUGGCAAGUACUCUAGGAGUAUGGAAAAAUAAAAACAACAAAUCCACACACCUUUUUAACAUACACAACCAAUUCUGUCUACCCAGCCAAGGUAUAUUCUUCUUAUGUGGAACAUCGACCUAUAUCUGCCUCCCCACUAACUGGACAGGCAACUGCACCUUAGUCUUUCUAAGUCCCAACAUUAACAUUGCCCUAGGAAAUCAGACCCUAUCAGUACCCCUCAAAGCUCAAGUCUGUCAGCACAGAGCCAUACAACUAAUACCCCUACUUACAGGGUUAGGAAUGGCUACUGCUACAGGAACCAGAAUAGCCAGUUUAUCUACUUCAUUAUCUUACUACCACACACUCUCAAAGGAUUUCUCAGACAGUUUGCAAGAAAUAAUGAAAUCUAUCCUUACUCUACAAUCCCAAAUAGACUCUUUGGCAGCAGUGACUUUCCAAAACUGCAGAGGCCUAGACCUCCUCACUGCUGAGAAAGGAGGACUCUGCACCUUCUUAGGAGAAGAGUAUUGUUUUUACACUAACCAGUCAGAGAUAGUAAGAGAUGCUUCCUGACAUUUACAGAAAAAGGCUUCUGAAAUCAGACAAUGCCUUUCAAACUCUUAUACCAACCUCUGGAGUUGGGCAACAUUGCUUCUCCCUUUUCUAGGUCCUGUGGCAGCCACCUUGCUGUUACUCACCUUUGGGCCCUGUAUUUUUAAACUUCUUGUCAAAUUUGUUUCCUCUAGAAUCAAGGCCAUUAAGCUACAGAUGGUCUUACAAAUGGAACCCCAAAUGAGUUCAACUAACAACUUCUACCAAGGACCCCUGGACCGACCUGCUGGCCCUUCUGCUGGCCCUUCCACUGGCCUAAAGAGUUCCCCUCUUUAGGACACUACAACUGCAGGGCCCCUUCUUUGGCCCAUCCAGCAGGAAGUAGCUAGAGCAGUCAUCGGCCAAAUUCCCAACAGCAGUUGUGGUGUCCUGUUUAGGGGGGAGAUUGAGAGGUGAAGCCAGCUGGGCUUCUGGGUCGGGUGGGGACUUGGAGAACUUUUGUGUCUAGCUAAAGGAUUGCAAAUGCACCAAUCAGCACUCUGUGUCUAGCUAAAAGUUUGUAAAUGCACCAAUCAGUGCUCUGUGUCUAGCUAAUUGGGUAAGGACUUGGAGAACUUUUGUGUCUAGCUAAAUGAUUGUAAAUGUACCAUUUAGUACUCUGUGUCUAGCUAAAGGAUUAUGAAAGCACCAAUCAGCACUCUGUAAAAUGGACCAAUCAGCACUCUGUAAAAUGGACCAGUCAAUGUACUAUAAAAUGGACCAAUCAGCAGGAUGUGGGUGGGGCCAAAUAAGGGAAUAAAAGCAGGCCACUGAGCCAGCAGUGGCAGCCUGCUUGGGUCCCCUUCCAUGCUGUGGAAGCUUUGUUCUUUCACUCUUCACAACAAAUCUUGCUGCUGUUCACUCUUUGGGUCCACACUACCUUUAUGAGCUGUAACACUCACCACAAAGGUCUGCAGCUUCACUCCUGAAGUCAGCAAGACCACGAACCCACCAGAAGGAAGACACUCCAGACACAUCUAAACAUCAGAAGGAAAAAACUCCAGACACGCCAUCUUUAAGAACUGUAACACUCACUGCAAGGGUCUGUGGCUUCAUUCUUGAAGUCAGCAAGACCAAGAACCCACCAAUUCUGUACACAAUAUUUGACUACAUGGCUUUAAAAAUAAAUGCUCUAUGAUACUGGAAAAGACAAUGUAUUAGUUGUUUCAGGAUAUAUUUUUAUGUUUGGUAUUUUGAAUCAGCAAGGAUGACAUCCGUUUUAUUUACAGUUGUAGCUCCAGUGCCAGUAUAGUUGGUACCUCAGAUAUAUUUAAUGACUGUAAAUGAAGAACUUCCUUUAUAUCCUAUUUGUAUUUUUCCUGUAUGAUAUAUCAGAGAGUGAGAAAGAUAUUUAUAGCAGUGUUUUCCAAUAGAAACUUCUGCAAUGAUGGACACAGUUUUUGGCACUAUCCAAAACUGCAUUCACUAGUCAUAUGUAGCUACUUAAUGCUUGAAAUGUAUCUAGGACAUAAGAGUAAAUGAAGUUAAUUGCAUUUAAUACUAACUAAUUUCAGUUAGAAAUUAAAUAGUCACACAAAAGUAGUGGCUAUUGUAUUGGACUGUGCAGGUCUAUAGCACCUCAUUAUUUUUUGGACAAUUUUCCCUUGUAUUUCUACCAUUCUUGUUUCAUAUGUUAGCAUAAAAAUGAUUAUAUUUAUCGUGUAUCCAUUGUGGAAUAAAACUGCAUUUAAAAAGCUGA